AGCGAACGCUGGCGGCAGGCUUAACACAUGCAAGUCGAGCGGGCGUAGCAAUACGUCAGCGGCAGACGGGUGCGUAACGCGUGGGAACGUACCUUUUGGUUCGGAACAACACAGGGAAACUUGUGCUAAUACCGGAUAAGCCCUUACGGGGAAAGAUUUAUCGCCGAAAGAUCGGCCCGCGUCUGAUUAGCUAGUUGGUGAGGUAACGGCUCACCAAGGCGACGAUCAGUAGCUGGUCUGAGAGGAUGAUCAGCCACAUUGGGACUGAGACACGGCCCAAACUCCUACGGGAGGCAGCAGUGGGGAAUAUUGGACAAGGGGGGCAACCCUGAUCCAGCCAUGCCGCGUGAGUGAUGAAGGCCCUAGGGUUGUAAAGCUCUUUUGUGCGGGAAGAUAAUGACGGUACCGCAAGAAUAAGCCCCGGCUAACUUCGUG
rnacentral:rRNA from 1 species